UUUUAUGGAGAGUUUGAUCCUGGCUCAGGAUGAACGCUGGCGGCGUGCCUAAUACAUGCAAGUCGAGCGAACGGACGAGAAGCUUGCUUCUCUGAUGUUAGCGGCGGACGGGUGAGUAACACGUGGAUAACCUACCUAUAAGACUGGGAUAACUUCGGGAAACCGGAGCUAAUACCGGAUAAUAUUUUGAACCGCAUGGUUCAAAAGUGAAAGACGGGCUUGCUGUCACUUAUAGAUGGAUCCGCGCUGCAUUAGCUAGUUGGUAAGGUAACGGCUUACCAAGGCAGCGAUGCAUAGCCGACCUGAGAGGGUGGUCGGCCACACGGGAACUGAGACACGGUCCAGACUCCUACGGGAGGCAGCAGUAGGGAAUCUUCCGCAAUGGGCGAAAGCCUGACGGAGCAACGCCGCGUGAGUGAUGAAGGUCUUCGGAUCGUAAAACUCUGUUAUUAGGGAAGAACAUAUGUGUAAGUAACUGUGCAC
rnacentral:rRNA from 1 species